ACAGAGAGAAAAUAUUCAUAUUUUUUUAGCCCGACAAUAACACAAUACAAAAACAAAAGAUACUGCAUAUCAUUGCCUCUCUGCAUUCCCCACACCCCCUCCACAGAAAUGGCGUUUCCCGCUCCGUGUUCUAAAUAGAAGGACAAACGGGCGCGCGGUCCUACCUGCCCUGCCCCGCCCCCCUCCCAGAAUACGGAACUUGGAAGUUAGACGUGCUACAAAGUAAUGAGUCAAUGAAGCUGAUUUUAUGGCCCCUCUUACGCUGUGAUAGUACAAGGUUCUUUCCACCAGAUGCCGCUGUUCCUGCUAUUAGGUGAAAAGCCAUGUGGACUGCGUGACACUGCCCUACUUAGCAGGCUCUGGAAGAACAGGAGCAUGUCCAGCAUCUCCCCUGACAACUGUUCUAUAUCUAUGCAUCCUGGAAUGUCCCAGCUAGGCCCUCUGAGUAUUGUGUGUGCGUGAGUGUGUGUACGUGUGUUUUUGUGCCCAUGUGUCUCCAGUGCUGACAUACGCCAAGGUCAUCAUACUUUGACAAUCAAAAUAGGCACGGCCCAAAGGUACAUCGUCUAAACAAGAGCGAAUAUUGGUGCAAAGGUUCUCUUCAGUUGUUAUGUAAGGGGGGCACAGAGGUUAUUAUUUCAAAAGGAAACCAUGUCCUGCAAUUUGCUGAAACCAAAUAGUAUAGCAUAUUAGUGAUACCAUUCAUCAGCAAGACAAUACAAAAACAGCCACAUGACGAGCUUACAGCAAGAAAAAGGUCAUUUCAUGCCUAAGCAGGAACUGAGCCCAUCUCCCGUGGCACCAGCAAUGACCGACUCAGCAAAUUCUGACAAAUCAUCGUAGCAUUACCUUUUAAAGUAAUUUAACAUCCCAAAAUGUAAAUAAGUGGAAAUUCAGUCACUAGAGGAAAAGCCUGGGGAAAGGUGGAACUGUUUCUUUGCUUUACAAUAGCAAUACCUAUUAUCUAACUGUGAAACCUUUAACCUCAAAUGACCUUACUGGGGCCUUGGGGUCUGCGAUAAAAUAGUACUGCCCCUCCUAGAUUUCAUGUAUAUGUUAUGUUAUAUGUCCAGUCGCGUAAUCUUAGUGAAGUGUCAUGUAACUGUGCCCCUGACAGCUACAGACCGGUCAAUGUUGAGAAUGCACUUCCUUAGGAAUAGCCAGAGUCAGUGCCAGCAAAUCUCUCUGAAACCCUUAACAAGAUUGAGAGUACAGAGCUGAACUUUCACACACAUAUCAAUCCACUGUGUUGCCUCUGCCAGAACGGGAGGAGCGAGCGAGCAAGAGAGAGAUGUCAGAGGAAGGCAGGAGGAGUCCGAGGAGAUACAGCACUUAGCAGCAAAAUCUAAACACUGCUGGGAAAUAAACAGACAUCCAGAAUUGGUAACCGGUGGCAGAUUAUUUAUUUCUGAACAGAAUUCAGUCCUUUUCAUAUGUUUUUUUGCUCACCAGGCAUGUGUUCAGUUUUUUUACAAAACUGAAAGCAAGCAUUUCUCUCACCUGUCCUCUUGAAACAGCUGAUUUGAAAUGGGCUUGCACCUACGACCCAUAUUGCAAUAGUGCAUAACACACAUUAUGAAUGACCAUCCUACCCUCAACAUUUCAACACACUGGA